GCUUUCUGUAUUCUGUUUUUGAUGUCACAACUUCCUCCUCCCUCUUUGUCCACGACUGCUCCCAGGUAUGUGAACUUGUCUACAUCUUCUACUUUCUGGUCGUAUAGUGUUAUCAACCCUUUAUUCUUUGUUUGCUUGGAUCUCAGAGUUUUACACUUUUUGGGGUUAAGUUUCAUUCCAACUCUUUCAGCUUCAGUUGUUAAUUU
rnacentral:lncRNA from 1 species